rnacentral:rRNA from 1 species
CAGCAGCCCGAGUGGUGGUCGUUUUUAUUGGGCCUAAAGCGCCCGUAGCCGGUCUAGUAAAUCCUUGGAUAAAUCGUACAGCUUAACUGUACGGCUCCCGGGGAGACUGCUAGACUUGGGACUGGGAGAGGUCGGAGGUACUCCAGGGGUAGGGGUGAAAUCUUGUAAUCCUUGGGGGACCACCAGUGGCGAAGGCGUCCGACUAGAACGGGUCCGACGGUAAGGGACGAAGCCCUGGGGCGCGAACCGGAUUAGAUACCCGAGUAGUCC